rfam:Lupinus angustifolius cultivar Tanjil chromosome LG17, whole genome shotgun sequence.
AUACUUACCUCGAUGGGGUCAAUGGGUGAUCAAGAAGGCCCAUGGCCUAGGGUAGUGACCUCCAUUGCACUUAGGAGGGGUGCUAUCCUAAGGUCUACCGAUAUGGUCGAGCCUACGUUGUAAUUUGUGGUAGUGGGGGCAUGCGUUCGCGCAACCCCUAU